rnacentral:pre_miRNA from 18 species
GAUCGGUGUCUCGAGCCGAGUUAAGGCUAAUAGUCCUUCCGGUGUAUGGUAAUGACUAGAACCUUGACUCUGCUCGAGUUACUGAGC